rnacentral:lncRNA from 13 species
AUGAACUGCCAGAAAAGUGAGGACACCAGAAAUCACAUAAGGACUUUAGGCUCUACCAGGAACUACACCACUAGUUCUCAUGGUUUGGGGUUCUUCAGACUUGGAUUGGAAAUAUACCACCAGCUCUCCUUGGUCUCCAACUUGCCAAAUGAAGACCAUGGGACUUCUCAGCCUCAUCAUCAUGUGAGUCAAUUCCUUAUAAUCUUUUCUCUCUUUCUCUCUCUCUCAUUUUUCUCUCUCUAAUACUUUUUUGGUUGUGUUUUUCUGGAGAACUCUCACUAAUCAAAUUUUGGUACUGAGAAGUGAGAUGCUGUUGUAACAAAUACCAAAACAUGUGACAAUGACUUUGGAACUGGGUAAUGGAUAGAGGCUGAAAGGGCUUUGAGGUACAUGCUAGAAAUAUGAGCAUUCAGGGCAAUUCUGGUGAGGAUUCAGAUGGAAAUGAGGAACAUGUUAUUGGAGACUGCAGAAAAGAAGAUCCAUGUUAUAGAGUGGGAAAAUACUUGGCUGAAUUGUGUUCUGUGGAAAAUAAAACUCAUGAGAGACGAAACA